rnacentral:rRNA from 1 species
GAUGAACGCUAGCUACAGGCUUAACACAUGCAAGUCGAGGGACCGGCGCACGGGUGAGUAACACGUAUCCCACCUGCCCUUUACUCGGGGAUAGCCUUUCGAAAGAACGAUUAAUACCCGAAGUAAAGGAUGGGGAUGCGUUCCAUUAGGUUGUUGGUGAGGUAACGGCAAACCAAGCCUUCGAUGGAUAGGGGUUCUGAGAGGAAGCUACCCCAGAUUGGAACUGAGACACGGUCCAAAAUCGUACGGGAGGCAGCAGUGAGGAAUAUUGGUCAAUGGGCGUUAGCCUGAACCUGCCAAGUAGCGUGAAGGAUGAAGGCGUAUGGGUCGUAUACUUCUUUUAUAUAAGAAUAUGUAUUAUAUGAAUAAGGAUCGGCUAACUCCGUGCCAGCAGCCGCGGUAAUAC